CAGCUCUCCGAGUGGUGGGGAUGUUUAUUGGGCCUAAAGCAUUCGUAGCCUGCUUGGCAAGUCCUCCGUUAAAUCCAACGAUUCAAUCGUUGGGCUGCGGGGGAUACUGUCCGGCUAGGGGGCGGGAGAGGCCGACGGUAUCCUCGGGGUAGGGGUGAAAUCCUAUAAUCCCGGGAGGACCACCAGUGGCGAAGGCUGUCGGCUAGAACGCGCCCGACGGUGAGGGAUGAAAGCUGGGGUAGCGAACCGGAUUAGAUACCCGAGUAGUCC
rnacentral:rRNA from 1 species